GCCCACUAACUUCGCAUCUAGAAAAAAGAGCAACACGAUCUCACUUUCUCUCGUUUCCCUUCGUGUACCAAUAUUCCCAAUUUUCUCUCUAACACUCCCCCUCCACCGAAAUCUCCAAAGUCCUUUAUUCUUCAAUCCACCUCAUUAGAAAAACUAGGGUUUCGGUUCACAUCUCUCUGUGAUAAGGAAAACAGAAUUAGAUGAGUAGUUUCCACUCGAUAUUGGUUUUUUAAGUUAGGGUUUAGGCUUGAUUUCAUUUUAAAGUUGCAUCAUUGUAACAGUGCUACUUAGUUCGAUUUUAGCAUUCAAUCCUCAAUUUAUUUUUUUAACAGGAAUGCAAUGUUCCAGAAUAUAAUUCUUGUUGUUCCGUUUCUGCAUUUGAGUAUUAGAGUUUCAACUCCAGUCCUUAGAAAUUGGUCUUUUUUAGUUUUUUUGAUUAAAUUGGUACUUUUUACUGUUCUUGAUUAACUCUGGUAUUACUUCGGAACAUGGGUUUCUUUCAAUUUUUUCUUUUACGUCUUUGAUUAAAUUAGAUUUCUAUUGGCUAUUCCAGGGGAAAAAACCAAAAAUAGAGAAGAAGACUACGCCAAGAAUGGAAGAUCAAAAAAACGAAGAGCAAGGGUCUGCACUUCGAUUCCUCGGCUACUGGUCCUGUCCCUAAAGCGGGAUAAGUUUGAGGCGCUAUCGCAUCUUUCAUGAAAUCGGAUCCUAAGGCGCAACACGAUUGGGAAUGGCCAAAAUUGACCUAGAAAAUACAAUCAAACCCAGAAACACUAUUUUCGGAUUGCAGUGGAUAAACUUUGGGAUAUGCAACAAUGGGAGGCGAUAAGGAAAUGGUUCUUGGAAGAACUUAAGGACAUGGCCCGGGAAUGGACUGCUGGAUUAGGUGUACUAUGGUAUAAGUUGUUGUGUAGCAUGCGAUAGUGUUUAUCUACCUAGUGUGAGGGUUCAAUUAGAAUACGAUAUAUAUUAUUUAAUAUUGUGUAAAACUUGAGCAUUCACAGCGUACUGUGGCUGGAUUCACAAGCGGGACAGCAAGAACUGACAAAAUCAUGAAAAGGUAAAAUUGAUUUCAAUAUUCAUAAAUAAUCUCUCUUCAUAUUUACUUAAGCUGAUUGUAUCCAGGGUCGUUGAAGGGAUGCCUAACAAAUAGACAUUUAAAUGGUCCCAUUUUGUUUUGUUGUCCACAAGUAAGCUCACUAACUUAAAUUGUAUCAGUAAAACAUUAUUAACCUGUAUAUAUAUUCUGAAUAUAUAGCAUAUAUCUCGCCACAACACAAUAAUUGGGGAUCUUUUGUCAUGUUAUGAAUGAAAGAAACUAUUCAACGGCAGCUAUACUUGAAUAGCACACUAAUGGGAAGCUGUGUCCCAGUUAUUGAAAUAUAGAUCAUUGAAGUAUGAAGAGAAUGGAUAAACUACAUAAACCAUGCUGACAUGAUGCCGCAGGAGUGUACAUUUCGAACGGUGAAAUGUUACAUAAACAGAUUAGAUUUUGAUAACUUCUCAAAACUGGGAUAUGGUUUCCAAAUUCGUUGUUAAUUUCUUUCCAGUCAGUUCCGAGAAUACUUCGUAUUAUGUUGUACAUGCAGUAACUUGUAAUUAACUUAUUUGGGUCGGAAUUUCUGUACUACUUUUACUUAUUAAUUCGAAAACAAUUUAAACUUUAUUCUCCA